rnacentral:rRNA from 1 species
CAAUAGCGUAUAUUAAAGUUGUUGCAGUUAAAAAGCUCGUAGUUGGAUUUGUGGCGUACGGUGUGUUCCGGGCACUUGUUGUCUGAGUAACCUGCUGUUGCCAUCCUUGGGUGGAACCUGUGUGGCAUUAGGUUGUCGUGCAGGGGAUGCCCAUCAUUUACUGUGAAAAAUUAGAGUGUUCAAAGCAGGCUUAUGCCGUUGAAUAUAUUAGCAUGGAAUAAUGAGAUAGGACUUUUUUGCUAUUUUGUUGGUUUGCGCAAAGAGGUAAUGAUUAAUAGGGACAGUUGGGGGUAUUCGUAUUCCAUUGUCAGAGGUGAAAUUCUUGGAUUUUUGGAAGACGAACUACUGCGAAAGCAUUUGCCAAGGAUGUUUUCAUUAA